rnacentral:rRNA from 1 species
UACGUAGGGGGCGAGCGUUAUCCAGAUUUACUGGGCGUAAAGCGCGUGUAGGCGGCUGGUUAGGUGUGAUGUGAAAUCCUCGGGCUCAACCCGAGAACUGCAUUGCAAACCGGCCUGGCUAGAGUGCAGGAGAGGGAAGCGGAAUUCCAGGUGUGGCGGUGAAAUGCGUAGAUAUCUGGAGGAACACCGGUGGCGAAGGCGGCAUCCUGGACCAACACUGACGCUGAUGAGCGAAAGCCAGGGGAGCAAACGGG